rnacentral:lncRNA from 1 species
AUGUGGCUAAUUUCACUCUAAUGAUUGAAUUUUUUUCUCAUGGGGUUUUCCAGAAAGUUUGAGGUAGAAAUAAUUUUAUUUUGGCUUUAGGCUUGGUGAUUUUAAUUGCCAAUGUCUUCAUUAUCGCUGCUAUUUCUUUGGAAUAUCAUCUCUGCUCACUUAGGCAUUUCCUCUUGGAACAGCUCUUCUGCUUGGAUCUUUGCUACAUUUCCAUGAUAGUGCUUUCAACAAUAAAGUCCAUCUGUAGGUCAUUCAUGUACAGUGCCUACAUUUCCCCAUAGAGUGCACACUGCAGGGUUUUGCAUUCACACUCUGUAGUUAUACUUCCAUGGCCAUACUCACAGUCAUGUCCUGUCACUGUUAUGUGAUUAUGUGCUACAAAGUCAUCAUAAGUGUCAGCUUGUGUAUGCAUAAGGUUUUAGCUGUCUGGGCCAGUGUGAUGUGGAAUCAACUUUGGAGUUAUGCACACAGCUGUUACUUCUCCAUCUGCUCUGUGGGGCCAGUGUCAUUCACUAGUUCUGUAAUGUCCUCUUAGUUUUGAAACUCUCUUGUUCCAAUGAUUGUGUAAGUGAGCUUAGAUCAUUGGCUUCCCCACAUGCAGGCACUUCAUCUCUAUUAGUUUUGCCUAUGAACAUAUAUUAUCUCCUGAGCUAAGGAUGCCAUCAGUGAAGGGCAGAACCAGAGUCUUUUCCACUUGUCUAUGCCACAUUUCUGUAGUCAUUUUGUUUAUCCCUACUGGUGUCUUUGAGUUUCUAAACCCACAUUCAAAAUCUCCAACUUAGAUUUUGCAUUAGACUUUAUUCUUAGUUUUUCAUACUUUUCUUUCCUCAACACUCAAUCCAGAAAUAAACAGCCUGAGAAAUGAGGCCACAGAACAUCAUUCAAAGGAAAACGUAUCUCUUUUUAUAUCCACUAUUUCCUCUUUAGG